AACGAACGCUGGCGGCAUGCCUAACACAUGCAAGUCGAACGAGACCUUCGGGUCUAGUGGCGCACGGGUGCGUAACGCGUGGGAAUCUGCCCUUGGGUUCGGAAUAACAGUUAGAAAUGACUGCUAAUACCGGAUGAUGACUUCGGUCCAAAGAUUUAUCGCCCAGGGAUGAGCCCGCGUAGGAUUAGCUUGUUGGUGAGGUAAAAGCUCACCAAGGCGACGAUCCUUAGCUGGUCUGAGAGGAUGAUCAGCCACACUGGGACUGAGACACGGCCCGGACACCGAGGGGAGGCAGCAGUGGGGAAUAUUGGAAAAUGGGCGAAAGCCUGAUCCAGCAAUGCCGCGUGAGUGAUGAUGGCCUUGGGGUUGUAAAACUCUUUUACCCGGAAUGAUAAUGACAGUACCGGGAGAAUAAGCCCCGGCUAACUCCGUGCCAGCCGCCGCCGUAAUAC
rnacentral:rRNA from 1 species